rnacentral:lncRNA from 1 species
AUUCUCAUCCAGGAUGAUGCAGUUUGACAAUUUCCAUGGAGGUGAUUGAUGAUGAUAAAUAAUUGGUGAAGUAGGCCUAAUAGAACAGUGACUGGACCACAAAGAGAAAUACAAACUACAGCAGUUAUAUGAGACUGGUGUAACAGAUGUUUUCAUUCAAGAAAUCCAACAAUUCAACAUUGAAGACUUGGGAACCACAUGAUGAAGAUGGAAAAGGUUUUUUUUCCAAGUCCAAUU